GUGAGGAAUAUUGGACAAUGGGCGCAAGCCUGAUCCAGCCAUGCCGCGUGCAGGAAGACGCAUCUAUGGUGUGUAAACUGCUUUUGUACGGGAAGAAACACUCCCUCGUGAGGGAGCUUGACGGUACCGUAAGAAUAAGGAUCGGCUAACUCCGUGCCAGCAGCCGCGGUAAUACGCAGGAUCCAAGCGUUAUCCGGAAUCAUUGGGUUUAAAGGGUCCGUAGGCGGUUUAAUAAGUCAGUGGUGAAAGCCCAUCGCUCAACGAUGGAACGGCCAUUGAUACUGUUAGACUUGAAUUACAAGGAAGUAACUAGAAUAUGUAGUGUAGCGGUGAAAUGCUUAGAUAUUACAUGGAAUACCAAUUGCGAAGGCAGGUUACUACUUGUGGAUUGACGCUGAUGGACGAAAGCGUGGGGAGCGAACAGGAUUAGAAACCCCAGUAGUCC
rnacentral:rRNA from 1 species